rnacentral:misc_RNA from 1 species
AAAAAGAAAAGAAAAGGGGUGCAACACGAGGACUUCCCAAGAGGUCACCCAUCUUAGUACUGCUCUCGCCCAAGCACGUUUAACUUCGGAGUUCUGAUGGGAUCCGGUGCACUAGUGCUGGUAUGAUCGCACCCGCUAUGCUUUUCGCCCACAAUUUAUUCAUAUUCUCCCCUCGCCCUCCCCGCCCCGACCUUGCCCUUCCCGAAACGCCGCGUGGGCCCCACGCCCCGCAACUUCCCGAGCCGCCGUAACUUUUUGCGAUCUGGGAAUAGACGAGCCAUUGAUUGCUGAAGGUAAAAGAAUUUGUUGCGAGGAGUUCGAGUGAAA